AGAUAUGAUCCAGAGUACCACGGGACACGUGAAACCCUGUGGGAAGCAGGAGGGACCACCCUCCAAGGCUAAAUACUACCUAGUGACCGAUAGCGUAUAGUACCGGGAGGGAAAGGUGAAAAGAACCCCGGGAGGGGAGUGAAAUAGAACCUGAAACCCUGCACUUACAAGCUGUGGAAGCACAUUUCUUGUGUGACCGCGUACUUUUUGUAGAACGGGCCAACGAGUUACGU
rnacentral:rRNA from 1 species